AGUGAGCGGCAACAGCUCAAAUUUGAAAUCUGGCGUCUUCGACGUCCGAGUUGUAAUUUGUAGAGGAUGCUUCUGAGUAACCACCGACCUAAGUUCCUUGGAACAGGACGUCAUAGAGGGUGAGAAUCCCGUAUGCGGUCGGAAAGGUGCUCUACACGUAGCUCCUUCGACGAGUCGAGUUGUUUGGGAAUGCAGCUCUAAAUGGGAGGUAAAUUUCUUCUAAAGCUAAAUAUUGGCCAGAGACCGAUAGCGCACAAGUAGAGUGAUCGAAAGAUGAAAAGCACUUUGGAAAGAGAGUUAAAAAGCACGUGAAAUUGUUAAAAGGGAAGCGAUUGAAGUCAGUCGUGUCUGUUGGUUUCAGCCUUUACCGGUGUAUUACCAGCAGACGGGUCAACAUCAGUUUUGGACGGUGGAAAAAGACAGGGAGAACGUGGCACCCUCGGGUGUGUUAUAGCUCUCUGUUGCAUACACUGUCUGAGACUGAGGAAUGCAGCUUGCCUUUAUGGCCGGGGUUCGCCCACGUACAAGCUUAGGAUGUUGACAUAAUGGCUUUAAACGACCCGUCUU
rnacentral:rRNA from 1 species